ensembl:misc_RNA Metazoa_SRP Metazoan signal recognition particle RNA
UGGUGUGGUGGCAUGCACCUGUAGUCCCAGCUACUCAGGAGGCUGAGGCAGGAGGAUGGAUGGCUUGAGCACAGGGAUUCUGGGCUAUAAUGCCCUAUGCUGGUCCACACUAACUUCAGCAUCAAUAUGGUAACCUCCCAGGAAUGGGGACCACCAGGUUUUCUAAGGAAGGGUAAACUGGCUCGGGUGGGAAACAGAGUAGGUCAAAACUCUUAUAUUGAUCAGCAGUGGGAUGGUGCUAUGAAUAGCCACUGUACUCCAGCCUGUGCGACAUAGCCAGAUUCUCCUUUUU